UACGGGGGGAGCAAACGUUGUUCGGAAUCACUGGGCGUAAAGGGCGUGUAGGCGGCUGGAUAAGUGGGAUGUUAAAUCCCCCGGCUCAACCGGGGACCUGCAUCUCAUACUGUUCAGCUCGAGCACAUCAGAGGAGACUGGAAUUCCCGGUGUAGCGGUGAAAUGCGUAGAUAUCGUGAGGAACACCAGAGGCGAAGGCGGCUACCUGGACAAUUGCUGACGCUCAGGCACGAAAGCGUGGGGAGCAAAAGGG
rnacentral:rRNA from 1 species